rnacentral:rRNA from 1 species
CCUACGAGUGGCAGCAGUGGGGAAUAUUGCGCAAUGGGCGAAAGCCUGACGCAGCGACGCCGCGUGAGGGAAGAAGGUCUUCGGAUCGUAAACCUCUGUCAGCAGGGAAGAACGGUCACUGUGCUAAUCAGCAGUGCAUUGACGGUACCUUCCAAGGAAGCACCGGCUAACUCCGUGCCAGCAGCCGCGGGAAGACGGAGGGUGCGAGCUUUACUCGGAAUUACGGGGCGUAAAGCGCGCGUAGGCGGUAUGUCAAGUCAAGGGUGAAAUCCCCGCGCUCACCGUGGGAACUGCCUUUGAAACUGGCAAACUUGAGUGUGUGAGAGGAUAGUGGAAUUCCUGGUGUAGGAGUGAAAUCCGUAGAUAUCUGGAGGAACAUCAGUGGCGAAGGCGACUAUCUGGCACAUAACUGACGCUGAGGAGCGAAAGCGUGGGUAGCAAACAGGAUUAGAGACCCCGGUAGUC